UCCUGUUGAGUCGUCUCUCACCAAACAUGCGUCUGCUACCAUUAAUCGUCGUGUUUUGUCUGGUGUUGGUGACCACUGAAGGUGGAAGGUGUCGCAAAUUCGGCAAGGCGUGUGGAAAAGGGAACGGGGAUGUGUGCCGCUGGUGUUGGAGGCCUCACAAGCGUCUCUGCUGUCUUCCGGGCGACACAUACAGUGACUGCGGGAGAAAAUGCAGUUUCCCAAAUACCUGCAGCACACUAAACGGCGAUUGUCACAAAGGAUGGUGCUGCGUAUACUGCAAAGGAAAACAUUGC